rnacentral:rRNA from 1 species
UACAGAGGUCUCAAGCGUUGUUCGGAUUAAUUGGGAGUAAAGGGUGUGUAGGUGGCGAGAUAAGUAGGGUGUGAAAUUUCGGAGCUUAACUCCGAAACUGCAUUCGAUACUGGCGUGCUUGAGGACUGGAGAGGAGACUGGAAUUUACGGUGUAGCAGUGAAAUGCGUAGAUAUCGUAAGGAAGACCAGUGGCGAAGGCGGGUCUCUGGACAGUUCCUGACACUGAGACACGAAGGCCAGGGGAGCAAACGGG